CCUACGGGAGGCAGCAGUAGGGAAUCUUCCACAAUGGGCGAAAGCCUGAUGGAGCAACGCCGCGUGAGUGAUGAAGGCCUUCGGGUUGUAAAACUCUGUCAUUCGGGACGAACCGGAGUCUGAGGAAAUGCAGACUCUCUGACGGUACCGGAGGAGGAAGCCCCGGCUAACUACGUGCCAGCAGCCGCGGUAAUACGUAGGGGGCAAGCGUUGUCCGGAUUCACUGGGCGUAAAGCGCGCGCAGGCGGUGAUGUAAGUCUGAGGUGAAACCCCGAAGCUCAACUUCGGGACUGCCUUGGAUACUGCGUCACUUGAGGAUAGGAGAGGCAAGGGGGAAUUCCACGUGUAGCGGUGAAAUGCGUAGAGAUGUGGGGGAACACCUGUGGCGAAGGCGCCUUGCUGGCCUAUUUCUGACGCUGGGGCGCGAAAGCGUGGGGAGCAAACAGGAUUAGGAUACCCUGGUAGUCCACGCUGUAAACGAUGAGUGCUAGGUGUAGGUGGGGUCUCAUACCCAUCUGUGCGAGCUACGCAUAGCACUCCGUCCGUGGGUUAGGUUACGGUCGCGAGACGNGACGACGAAGUUAGAGUUAGACGGCGNGAGACGNGCGACGGACGACGACGAGGGAGGUAGG
rnacentral:rRNA from 1 species